GGAUAAAUAUGUCGGUCGUGCCAUCGGUACGUACUGGUAUCAUUGGUUUCUCCUUUCUGACGAACCAUGAUGCCAUUAAUUUGGUGUUAUGGGAAGUUAGGACUGUUACUUUGAAAAAAUUAGAGUGUUUAAAGCAGGCAUUAGCUUGAACACAUUAGUAUGGAAUAAUGAAAUAGGACGUUCGAACCUAUUUUGUUGGUUUCUAGGAUCAACGUA
rnacentral:rRNA from 1 species